AGCCCAAGGAGUAUACUAUAAAAAUUGGAAUGACACAGAGGAGAUUAAGCAUGCUCCCUUUGCAAGGAAGAUCCUAUAAUUCAUGCAGCAUUCCCAAAUUCU
rnacentral:snRNA from 1 species